CAUCCAGGGACCCAAGGGGCUUCCAGGAUCUCUCUGUAUCAGGUGGUGCCCCAGCACCUCAUCAAGCCAAUGUGCUGAAUUGAAAAUCACGGUAACUCUGUACCAGGGGAGAUGUCUAAUCAAGGCUCAGGGGCUUCAAAGGACCUUGGAAAAGGAUCAAAAGGGCCAGAACAGAAAUCAUCACUGUGUUGAGGGGCCGGCAGUCAUUUAUAAGCUCUACAAGGAGGCUUUCUGCUGACAUGCUAUUUGAGACUCCUUAAUGGGGCUGGAGACGCCCCCAUGGGAUCCAUCUCCCAUCCCUGGCUGUUCUAACUUUUUAUCCCUCGGAAAAUGGAAAGCACUUGAGCACAAUAGGCUGAAAACCACCUUCGAGGUGGUCAGUGUGAUCCUGUCCUCUCCCGGGCAUCUUAUCCCCAUCAUCCUGCCGAGAGUGACUCCAUUUGACCACCUGAACCCCGACUCUGCGUGCCCUAGUGGGCCGGGUGCAGAGGCUGCCGCUUCCUCCACAGCAGGCAGAUUCCACCAUGCAGAGAAGCCCACAGACCCUGGAGCAAAGCGGUGCUGCUGCCAAGUAAAGGCAACCUCCUGGGACAGACUUGCAACAGGCUCCAUGCUGGCGCUUCAUUUAGGCCAAGGGUACCGCAACACCUUGUAUUUUGCACUUGAAACCUGGCUUCCCUUCCCGGUGAUGCCGGGGAGGAUGCAAGGAAGGGAACUGGUUCUGAAGGGUCUUUACAGAAAGGCAUGUGGGUCCAGGUGGGGGUCACUCCCUAGGAAAUGUUAACAGUUGUUUCUUCAGAAACACAAGGAUCUUAGCAAGCCUGGCUUGGCGCACAUUUCAGUUCUCUUCAUUAAAUCAAUGGUGCACAACCCCCCCGCCCCGCCACGACCCCAUCUCCUGACCUCAUUGCAGCUCAGCCUCCCGAGAGUCCCAGGAGGGUGCACAGAGGUGAGAGGUGCACCCUACACGCCAGCACCCAGGCUGCACCAGGCACACACACUAUGGACAAGUGAGGACUGAGUUUCUUUGGAGAGAAUGCUUAUCUAAAUGCCGUCUACUCUUGCAAAGGGAGAAGGGCUAUCUCAGGAUAAUUGCAUGGCUGCGUGAGCGGGACAUCCACGCUGCAGGGUGGUCUGACUGGACAGAGGGAAGCUAAUGGGACUUGGUGAGGUCAUGAGAACAGCAUAAGACUGAGGGACUGAGCACCAGGACAAAUGGAAC